UACCAUAGGGUGUUGUCUGGGGUGGGCUGUCAUUGGGAGUACCAUAGGGUGUUGUCUGGGGUGGGCUGUCAUUGGGAGUACCAUAGGGUGUUGUCUGGGAUGGGCUGUCAUUGGGAGUACCAUAGGGUGUUGUCUGGGGUGGACUGUCAUUGGGAGUACCGUAGGGUGUUGUCUGGGGUGGGCUGUCAUUGGGAGUACCAUAGGGUGGUGGUGUUGUCUGGGGUGGGCUGUCAUUGGGAGUACCAUAGGGUGUUGUCUGGGGUGGGCUGUCAUUGGGAGUACCAUAGGGUUGUUGUCUGGGGGGGCUGUCAUUGGGAGUACCAUAGGGUGGUGCACAGUGUUGUCUGGGGUGGGCUGUCAUUGGGAGUACCAUAGGGUGGUGCACAGUGUUGUCUGGGGUGGGCUGUCAUUGGGAGUACCAUAGGGUGGUGCACAGUGUUGUCUGGGGUGGGCUGUCAUUGGGAGUACCAUAGGGUGUUGUCUGGGGUGGGCUGUCAUUGGGAGUACCAUAGGGUGGUGCACUGUGUUGUCUGGGGGGUGUCAUGUCUAGGGGUGGGAGUACCAUAGGGUGUUGUCUGGGGUGGGCUGUCAUUGGGAGUACCAUAGGGUGUUGUCUGGGGUGGGCUGUCAUGUGGGAGUAC
ensembl:lncRNA